rnacentral:lncRNA from 1 species
AGGGAAGACCGGGAUUUGAUGGAAAUGCUACAAGAGAAGCAGGCUCUCCCCUUCUGAAAUGAUGAGUGAUAAUGACCAUACAGGUCAACUUUUCCACCACUUGGAGGGAGCCUGUCAAAGAACAAAGGCAACAGAGAAGAGAGCAGAGCUGAGGUUGGGUGAGAGGGAGAAAUUCCUGAGUGCUUGAAUCCCACAUGCCGGAAGCCGCACCACACUUGGACUUCUCAAUACAGGAGCCAGUGAGUUUAUUUUUUCCUGACCUGGUUGGAUUUGGGCAUUCUCAAGAGUUUGGGGGUUGGGUGGGGGGCAUUUAGGGGAGAGAGCAGAAUGCAGAAUUGAGAAGGGGAAGAAGAGAGCUGCCUUCCACUUUAAUGAGCAUCUCCUACUUUUCCUCUGGUGCUUCUCAGCACUAAGUCCCUUUUACAAUAUACUGCUUGCUCCAUCCCCAUAAUGGAGGACACUCACUGGUAGACAAAGGAAGAGGGAGAGGAGCAGAGCUGAUGCCACUGGCAUUAGUGCUCUGGGCCCAGGAUGGGGCAGGGAGCAGUGAGGCAGAUGGCUUUCUCCUGGACUUCUGGGACCCAAGAACAUGGUAAAUGUCCAUGCCGUCUGUCUUUCCGCCCACAGAAUGGAGGGGAAACAUGUUCUAGGACAGCAGUCAUCAAUCUUAUUUAAGACAUGAAUCAAUCAGAAAUUCCGGUAGAAUCUAGAGACCAGAGGUCACAAACCACCUGCCUAUCGGGACCAUAUUUGACUCACUCAGAGUGUUCUGGUUGGUAUGCCAGGAUUCUCUAAAGAAAAUGUGAACUAAAUUGAGAUUUCAUCUCCAAAGAGAACCAGAUUUCUGCUUUCUCUUAAUCAGCCAUAAGGUCUGUCAAUACUGGGUCCCAUUUCCUCAAGGCAGUGAUCAACUGAAGCAGAGGAGUGAGUGCCUGCCUUAGAAGGCAUGUGCCCUCCCGUUUGCCCAAUCCUCACCCGCCCCAAGGUCUCCCCAACACUGAGCAUUGCUUGCCUUUUGUCAUCACCCUUGCAUUACUGUUUCUUAUGGUGGAGAGAUAUUUAUUUGGACCCAAGUCUCUACCAGAAGUGACGAAAUAAAAGACAGACCCAGAAGGCUGAAUAUGUCAGAAUAAAAGGGAGAAGGCAUAUUUCUCUGUGGAAGAAAAUAAUAUUCCUCUGUGUUUAAGAGACUGGGUUCUCACACCUGAUGUAUUUCAUUCUUCUAUAUUCCCACCUAGCUCUGCAGGCAUUUAUUGGCAGGCUACACCUAAGACUUUCUCUGCAGAAAAAUGUUCUAGAUGCACAGAUUUGGGGGCUUGAUUGACAACCUGACACCUCACUCUAAAUCCGCAUGGGUCUGUUGACCUCAGGUGAGAACACUUGUUCUAAGGGAGUGGAAGGUCUUUAUUAAGAUAACCCUGAGAAAUAAAAGUCUGCCUUGAGCAUUGUAUGGGACUCUUUUUUGUUUGUUUGUUUGUUU